GACGAACGCUGGCGGCGUGCUUAACACAUGCAAGUCGAACGGAAAGGCCCUGCUUUUGUGGGGUGCUCGAGUGGCGAACGGGUGAGUAACACGUGAGUAACCUGCCCUUGACUUUGGGAUAACUUCAGGCAACUGGGGCUAAUACCGGAUAGGAGCUCCUGCUGCAUGGUGGGGGUUGGAAAGUUUCGGCGGUUGGGGAUGGACUCGCGGAUUAUCAGCUCGUUGGUGGGGUAGUGGCUUACCAAGGCCUUGAGGGGUAGCCUGCCUGAUAUGGUGACCUGCCACAUUAGGACUGAGCUGCGGCACGGACUCCUACGGGAGGCAGCGGUGGAGUAUGUUGCACUAUGGGCUGGAGCCUGAUGCAGCAACGCCGCGUGGGGUAUGACGGCAUGCGGGUUGUAAUCCGCUGUCGUCUGUGACGAAGCGUGAGUGACGGUAAUGGGUAAAGAAGCACCGGCUAACUACGUG
rnacentral:rRNA from 1 species